GGUUAAUGCGGCACAGACGUUUCUGCUCCGAGAAUCUAAAGAAUUCAGCAGAGACGUUUUUUCUGAGAGGAGUAAGCGUGUGUUUGCAAGAGGUCUGCGAUUUCGUCUCCCAUCUUGGUUUUCAGACGUCCGACUGCGGGGCGCACUCAGGUGGGGUGUUUCAGUGCCAGCCCGGGGACGCCCUGCCUAGGACAAGACAUUUCAGUGGGCUUCACUGCCUGGGGCUCAGGGGCGCUCAGGUCAACGCAGGAGGUGCUGCACCUCGAAAGCAGGCAUCCUCGGCACUUUGGCUUCAUUCUUGCGGCUGAUUUAAAUUUAAAUGUUCCCCGCAGGACAUCGCCCACGGCCCAGCCCUGCCUGCGCCCCGCGCGCGCGGAGGGGCCCCUCUCCUGCCCAUGCGCCCUGCGGGGCGAGGUCCCCAGCUCAAAUGCCAAGGAAAUUCCUAUCAAGCCAAAGCUUUUUUCCGUGGGGAGGAAGGCAAGACUUAAGACGACAGAUAUGACCCCAGUUAUAAAGAAUCCACACUACCAGUAGCCGUUCUUUAAGAAUUUAAGAACAGGAAAAGAGAGAGAAGAGAAGGUGGCCUUAAAAACACCACCACCAGCAGCUAAAGAACAGGACGUUUGAGAGUGAAAUUGGGAAAGUGCGGAGAAAGACUAAUGUGAAAAUGAUGACCGCGGUACAUAAGUGUGUUCACAAAGUUGCCUUUCUUCAGCAUGAGGCUGCCGUUCAGGAUGUCCCAUACGUGAGGACAACUGUGACACUUGGCACCCACGGAAGGCUCAUAACUUUAGCUCUGGGAACGAUGUUUGCUCCUCUGGAGAAGAAAGGGCUGUGAGAAGCCUCUGAUGGGUUAGCCAAGGGCCUUCCUGGAAAGUUCUAGAGAUGUUCUGCUGAGGCAGUCCGUCUGCUAUGGGAUCAGGGGAAGAUGUGGCCUCUCAAAGGGUCCCCCUCCUCUUUUCUGAAAGUGUUAUUUGAAAAGAGAAAAAUCGAAUCAACUGAAAUUUUUCUUUCUUUGGUUAGAGGACAAGGACGGAAGACUGAAACAGCCCCAGAAAAGCCCGACACACGAAGUUGGUGUAAGUUGGCAUCAGGAUGGUGUGUGCAGAGAAAUACAUUGGCUGCGACCAGAAAGGAGGCUUCCAAAGAUGCACGCGGGCAGUGGGAUCCAGUGCGUGGAAGGAGAGGUGGGCGUUGCGUGGAAGAAGUGGGCGUGGCGUGGCCAGGCCGGACAUUUACGGAAAGGGCUCAGAGAGGAGGCUGA
rnacentral:lncRNA from 1 species